GAAAUGCGAUAAGUAAUGUGAAUUGCAGAAUUCAGUGAAUCAUCGAUUCUUUGAACGCACAUUGCGCCCGCCAGCACUCUGGCGGGCAUGCCUGUUCGAGCGUCAUUUCAACCAUCAAGCCCCCGGGCUUGUGUUGGGGACCUGCGGCUGCCCGCAGGCCCUGAAAACCAGUGGCGGGCUCGCUGUCACACCGAGCGUAGUAGCAAUCACCUCGCUCAGGGCGUGCUGCGGGUUCCGGCCGUUAAACAGCCUUACAAAACCCAAGGUUGACCUCGGAUCAGGUAGGAAGACCCGCUGAACUUAAGC
rnacentral:misc_RNA from 1 species